rnacentral:rRNA from 1 species
GGUUAAGUCCCGCAACGAGCGCAACCCUUGUGCCUAGUUGCCAGCGCGUAGAGGCGGGCACUCUAGGCAGACUGCCGCAGACAAUGCGGAGGAAGGUGGGGAUGACGUCAAAUCAUCAUGCCCUUUAUAUCCCGGGCUACACACGUGCUACAAUGGCCUGUACAGCGGGUAGCGAAGGAGCGAUCCGGAGCCAAUCCCUGAAAGCAGGUCUCAGUUCGGAUUGCAGGCUGCAACUCGCCUGCAUGAAGUCGGAAUUGCUAGUAAUCGCGGAUCAGCAUGCCGCGGUGAAUACGUUCCCGGGCCUUGUACACACCGCCCGUCACACCAUGGGAGUCGGGGGCACCCGAAGCCGGUGGGCAAACCCUUUAUAGGGAUGCAGCCGUCGAAGGUGAACCCGAUGACUGGGGUGAAGUCGUAACAAGGUAGCCGUAUCGGAAGGUGCGGUUGGAUCACCUCCU